UUACACAUACUUAAUCACAAGUAAUGUGUAUUUCUAUUCUUUUUUUUAGGUUUGAUCAAUAACAUAUCUUGCCUUACCUUUCUUACUUAGUGUAUUUCCCGGGUUCGAGCGUAUUCAUACACUCCUCCCAUACAUCUUUCAUAUGUUUUUCAUUAUCAAAUUCUAUAAAUCUAUACUAAUUUAUAAACAGCUCUUACCGGAUGUCUUGAUCAAGCUUUGAACCGAAAACGCUUUAUCUUAACGAGGCUCUGAUUACCAACUUGUUAGACCCUUAUAGACCUUUGUAAAAUUCAUAAUAUUUCAAGUGCCAAUUUCACAAAACGACAUUUAUAUCAGAUUUCAAGAUAAAAAAAAACGUUCUUUAUCGUUUACAUAACAUAUCAUUAAAACACAACAUACUUCCUUUUAAACCCAUACACCUAUAUUUACAAAAGUAUGAUAACUCACUCUAAAGUUGUUGUGACAAAAGUCUCGAUUUAGUCGCGGAAGCUUUGAGUUAAGCGCGUAUUCGGUUCUGUUCUACACUUGAUCGCCAUCCGUUUACAUCAUACUAUUAGCUACAAUCAAAAACACCCAAAUUCGUUAGCUUAGAAUAUUUAAGACUUGGCUUAAGGGUUCAGGAGGUUAAAAUGCAUAACAGCAACACUUCAGCGAUUUUUAACCUCGUCGCGUGACGCAACGGGAGAAGCAGAUAAGGGUCGAGUGACGCGACCAAGGUCGCGGGCCGCGACGGCCAACAACGUUUGUCGUGGCGUGGCGCGAGCAUGUCUUUUUGACAGAACUGUUGUUUAAACAUCCUGCAUAUUCCCAGCUUCGCUAAUAGUUACUAAAACGGUCAUAACUUCUCCGUUAUUGAUCCGAAUUAGGUCCCGUUUCUUCCUACAUGACCGUAAUUCGAUAUUCUAUAACAUAGAAUGAAAAUACUACAUUCACAAGAACAAAUUUCUUUCAUUUGAGCACUCGGAAUAUUAAUAUUUUCAUAAUUAUUCGACCCAUUCCAAAUUACAACCCAUAGACUUCAUUUAUAAAUUCCAAAACCUCUAUAGGCUUACAUAUCAACCUAUUCAUAUUUUUAUGACCAGUUUUAUUAAAACUCAAGUAUCAUUAACGAGAUAUAUACGUAUUAAUUAACCCGUUUAUCCCACUUAACUACAUUCAUCGAUUUAACUUAUCCCAAGCUUAAUGCCUUGGUGAUUUUCGACCCGUUUGAUUUCUCUAGCGAAUUUCAUCGUCUUCCUGAAAUCAACCAUGUAACAUUCGAGUCAACUUGACCUGUUUAACUUUCAAGUGGAAUCCACCACUUUCCAAAUUUUUAUUUUCUCGAAAUUUAUACUUUUUCUUGUUGGAUAUUACAAACGAAAUCCUUCGUUUUUGUGUUAUCCAACAUUAUAAAGAUUUGAUUAUCAUUCAACCAUUAAGCAUAAAAGUGCUAAUACAAGAUAUUACGAAGCGAGUAGUCGCGUACCUUUCAAAGCUUUCCUUUUAGGAGAGUAUCCGUUCCGCCUUGCCCACUUGAUGAUCCACCCAAAUCACCUAUAUAGUUUGAUCCGAAUAUAUAGUUUAGAACUCAUAGUUCAAUAUUCGAUAUCUCAUUCACUUGAUUAAUUCAUUAAGCGGUUACUUCGUAUAUUUCAAGCAUUCCCAUUCAAUCAAGCAUUUUAUCAAACAUCUAGAGUGCAUAAUUUGUGUUCUUACACUAUCAUGUUCAUGGUUAAUAAUUUUAACCAAAUUUAAGUAUAGUAAUUCCAUUCAUAUAUCAAGAACACCAUAAUUACACUAGAAUUUGCAUCAUAAGCAUCAAUUAACAUUCAAUAACACAAAAAUAUAUGUAUUCUUUACAAUACCCAUAUACCCUUAUGUAAUUAACAUUAAAACUCAUAGAUUAUACCAUGAAUUAUGAAUUGAUAAUUUCAUUGUCUAAGAUUAGUUCCUAGACUUGUAUUCAUCAAGAUUUAACCCUAACAUCCAUUAAUUUACCAUUAAUUUCUGUUAUAAGAAUUCAAAAUCAUAAAAACAUCUUCAUAAUUCAAAAUUAAGCAUACCUUUCGAUCCCCCAGUGAUAGUGAUCUAGCUUAAUUUUAACUCCUGAUUGAAUUCUUUCUUGGAUUUGAAGUAGUUUUGAGUGAAUUAGGGUUUUGAAGAACUUUGGGGUCGCUCAUGAGGAUUUCGAUCGAAAAGGGAAUACACACAAGAAUUGCACAAUUGGUACCCCAAGUUUCUAAGUUAUCACAAUGGUUAUAAUUCUUGAUUUCCCCAUCUUUUCUUAUUAAGAAUUUAACUAGGUUAAUUAUGCCUAGUUUACAUUCUCAUUAUUUUAUGAUUAUUAUUCUAACUUAUACAUGUAUAACGACAUAUAUAGUUUAAUAAAAUUUAGGGGUGUUACAUAUUAAAAAGCUAUAUAUUAUUUUAAAUUUGAAAUUACUAUUCAUCAUCCUUGGAUAGAAAGCUAAAUCAUUAGAAUCGGUUCAGUUUAUCAUUGUAUCAUUUUACGAUAGCAAAUAAAUACUUUAUUUUUAAUAUAAAUUCGUUUUUAAUAAAACUUAUAUUAAUCGAGGGUAAAAAGUAAGCUCAACUACGUACUUAAGUUUAUAGAAGAAAAAAUAACGAACAUAAUUUAUUAAAGAAAUGUCAAAUUAAUUGAUGAAGUAAAGAUGAAUUUAAAAAAAUGAAGAAAAUAUUAUUAAA
rnacentral:lncRNA from 1 species